rnacentral:rRNA from 1 species
GACGAACCGUGCGAACGUGGUUCGGAAUCACUGGGCUUAAAGGGCGCGUAGGCGGGCUGUCAAGGCUGGGGGGAAAUGCCACGGCUCAACCGUGGAACUGCCUUAGAUACUGACGGCCUCGAGGAAGGUAGGGGCAUGCGGAACUGUAGGUGGAGCGGUGAAAUGCGUUGAUAUCUACAGGAACUCCGGUGGCGAAAGCGGCGUGCUGGACCUUUUCUGACGCUGAGGCGCGAAAGCUAGGGGAGCAAACAGG